AUCAACUUUUCUUUUUUUGCAUUUUAUAGAGACUUGGAAAAGAAAAAUGAUGAGAUUAAAAAACUAUCCAGAGAGAUCCAUUCUUUGAAGGAAAGAGGUCGAAUUGUAAAAACGACUGCUCAGGCAUAUGGCUGUAAUGGAUGUGGAAAGGUUUUUGGAACAAGGGAGGAUUUACCAUGCCAUAAAAGCUGGUUUGGUUGCAAAUAGUUGAUGGUCUUACCUAACCGGCAAAAAGAAGGAAUUGCUUUCAAAGGACUAUUAUGAUUGUUUUUAGAAUAAAUAUGAUUGAUCAGUCAUCAUAUGGA